AAACUUUUUCAAUUAAAAAAAAAAAAGAAUAGGGUCACUCUGUAUCGCAUACUAGUAGCCAUUACAAGCUAUGUUGGGUCUCUCCAGGCAAAACAAAUAGGGAAUAUUUAAGGAGAAGCCUGUGCUAGCAGCAUCACCCAUAAAGGUAGUCCUUGACUUUAUUAGUGGGACCAGAAUUUCCAUUGCUAAGCGUGAAAGGUGACUGGGUGACUUUGAGCCUCACUCUCAGCCCAACUCACCUCACUGGUUUGUAACAGGAGGAAGGUACGUUGGGUAUGUUAUUUGUAAAAAUAAUGAAGGUAGGAUAUAAAUAGAGCCUUGGUAGUACAGUGGUCUAAAGCACCCUGUUAUUAAGACCAGCUGCCUGCAAUUACUGCAGGUUUGAAUCUCGCCAGGCUCAAGGUUGACUCAGCCUUCCAUCCUUUCUAAGGUAGGUAAAUUGAGGACCCAGUUGUGGGGGCAAUAAGCUGACUUUGUAUAAAAUAUACAAAAGAAUGAAGGCUAUUGCUUAGUGCAUUGUAAGCCGCCCUGAGUCUCCGGAGAAGGGCGGCAUAUAAAUCAAAUUAAAAAAAAAAAAAUAGAUGGAGCAGAGUUUUCCUUCUCACUGUUAGAGAAGGAGUUGUCUUGCCAAUAGGAAGUCAACCUGCUCCUGCUAUGCUCUUCUAUCUUAAACUCUGUUGUACGCCAUCUUUCCUUGGCCCUUACAACUUAGGCUCAGGUUUCCUAAACGGCCAAAUCUGGAAAGCACUCCAUUUCUUCACUCAGCUUUCUGUCUGGCACAACAACAUUUCUUUCUUCACUAUGGCGAAGAGGACAAAAGGAAUUCUGAUUUUGACAAGACUGCAAAGGCCCCCCUGGUUUGAUGAUUGGUAACCAAGGCAACUGGGCUCUCCUUGAAAUAAUUGCUUAGUGCACCGACAACACCCACCUGCCCCCUCCAUUUUGUGUAGAAAACUGCCUUGCGUUUCGUUAGAAGGGGCAUUGUGAAAAAAAAAAAAACAAAAGACAAGAAAAGGAGCUGGCAGUUCCACUGCUGAACAAGGACACAACUCUGGCCCUUUUAGCAAACUGUUGAACAAAAGAUUAGAAAAUGGCUGCAUCCAUCUUGCUCACCCUUGUAGGCUCAUUCAGAAUUCCCCUUUUAUCUCUGAGAUUCUGCUAAAAAGGUUGGGGGGGGGUUGUCUCCUUUGCUUAUUAGCUUGUGCUUGUCAAUUUUGGCAAAUAUUUGACUGGAUGGAUUAGUUUUCUGCUCCCGUCUGCAUGCCUCUUCUCCAGAGAAGCUUCUAAAGAUGAUAAAUUGAAGGGGAAAAUGUUACAGCGCAGACCACAUAAAAUGAGUCUGGGGUCCUUGCAUAGGCUCUCUGAAUAAGCUAUUGUGUGUGUGUUUGUUUUAUUCUGCAAAGGGGGUAGAUAUAACACACGCACAGCCCAAUUUUAGGCCACAUCAUCAAGAGCCAAUUGAAACUAUUUCAAUAUAUUUUCGACACAGAUGUUACUGGAAAGCCUUUUAAAAAGGGGAUCCUAUAUGGAGAGUGGAGAAAGCCUGAAGACCACCCCAUGUUUAAAACUAAAAUUAUUACAUCCUGCCUUGAUUUUGUACAACUGAAGGCAAUAUACAUAAUGGUUUUCCCACAAUUUCAUUUCAUUUAUUUAACUUGUAUCCUACCUUUAUUAUUUUUACAAAUAACUCAGCAAACUUAUCCAAGACAUCUUCCUUCCUCCUGUUUUCCCCACAAUAAUAACCCUGCAAAAGGGUGUUUGAUCUGAGAGAAAAUGACUGGCUCAAAGUCACCCAGCUGGCUUUCAUGCUUAAAGGACUAGAACUCCCAAUGCCUGGGUUCUUAGUCCAGCACCUUAAUCACGACACCAAGCUGAUCAGUAUUUUUUGUCUUUUCUGCCACCUAAAGAUCACCUGGAGUUUUGCAACCAAGACCCUCAACUCAAAAUUCAACCUUGUGUUCCUGAAAUAUCAAAAGGCCUAUGUCUUGUGCUAUUUCUCAGCUCAGCUGUUUCAGUUGACCUGGAAAAGAUGAGGCCAAGGCCACUGGUGGGCCUGAGUGAGUAGUUAGUGACAGGAAAAUGGCUAGAGGCAAAUCUCUAAACUCUGAGACCUUCUCUUUAGAGUCUGAAGACCCUCCAAUGCAACUGUCAAAACCUAAUUCUUCCUGCUAUACUGAGCUUUCAGAAUAAAUUUGAAUUAUAAAUGA